CCUACGGGUGGCAGCAGUGAGGAAUAUUGGUCAAUGGACGAGAGUCUGAACCAGCCAAGUAGCAUGAAGGAUGACUGCCCUAUGGGUUGUAAACUUCUUUUAUAAAGGAAUAAAACGAGGCACGUGUGCCUUUUUGCAUGUACUUUAUGAAUAAGGAUCGGCUAACUCCGUGCCAGCAGCCGCGGUAAUACGGAGGAUCCGAGCGUUAUCCGGAUUUAUUGGGUUUAAAGGGAGCGUAGAUGGGUUGUUAAGUCAGUUGUGAAAGUUUGCGGCUCAACCGUAAAAUUGCAAUUGAUACUGGCAGUCGUGAGUACAGUUGAGGUAGGCGGAAUUCGUGGUGUAGCGGUGAAAUGCUUAGAUAUCACGAAGAACCCCGAUUGCGAAGGCAGCUUACUAAACUGUGACUGACAUUGAUGCUCGAAAGUGUGGGUAUCAAACAGGAUUAGAUACCCUUGUAGUC
rnacentral:rRNA from 1 species